rnacentral:rRNA from 1 species
GCAAGUCGAGCGGAGAUUUGAAAAGCUUGCUUUUCAAAUCUUAGCGGCGGACGGGUGAGUAACACGUGGGCAACCUGCCCUUGAGACGGGGAUAACUCCGGGAAACCGGAGCUAAUACCGGAUAACACAUAUCUUCGCAUGAGGAUAUGUUAGAAGGUGGCUUUUAGCUACCACUCAAGGAUGGGCCCGCGGCGCAUUAGCUAGUUGGUGAGGUAACGGCUCACCAAGGCGACGAUGCGUAGCCGACCUGAGAGGGUGAUCGGCCACACUGGGACUGAGACACGGCCCAGACUCCUACGGGAGGCAGCAGUAGGGAAUCUUCCGCAAUGGACGAAAGUCUGACGGAGCAACGCCGCGUGAGUGAUGAAGGUUUUCGGAUCGUAAAGCUCUGUUGUUAGGGAAGAACAAGUACCUGUUAAAUAAGCAGGUACCUUGACGGUACCUAACCAGAAAGCCACGGCUAACUACGUGCCAGCAGCCGCGGUAAUACGUAGGUGGCAAGCGUUGUCCGGAAUUAUUGGGCGUAAAGCGCGCGCAGGCGGUUCCUUAAGUCUGAUGUGAAAGCCCACGGCUCAACCGUGGAGGGUCAUUGGAAACUGGGGAACUUGAGUGCAAAGAGGAGAGCGGAAUUCCACGUGUAGCGGUGAAAUGCGUAGAGAUGUGGAGGAACACCAGUGGCGAAGGCGGCUCUCUGGUCUGUAACUGACGCUAAGGCGCGAAAGCGUGGGGAGCGAACAGGAUUAAAUACCCUGGUAGUCCACGCCGUAAACGAUGAGUGCUAAUUGUUAGAGGGUUUCCGCCCUUUAGUGCUGCAGCAAACGCAUUAAGCACUCCGCCUGGGGAGUACGGUCGCAAGACUGAAACUCAAAGGAAUUGACGGGGACCCCCACAAGCGGUGGAGCAUGUGGUUUAAUUCAAAGCAACGCGAAGAACCUUACCAGGUCUUGACAUCCUCUGCUACUUCUAGAGAUAGAAGGUUCCCUUC